GAAAAAGUUACAUAAAAUCGAUUAAUAUCUGAAAAAGUUACAUAAAAUCGAUUAAUGAAUAUCCGAAAAUCUGAUCCGUUUAUAAAUUAAACGAUUGGAUAUGGAUCGACCUCUAAAAUAUCUGAGAUGUGAUCCGAGCUAAUCCAAAUUUGAUAAAUUAAAUGAAUUCGGAUAUGUAUUUAGGCUGAUCCGAUCCAUUGACAUAACUAGACUCAUGUAUAGAGACCGACAAAAGAUUAUUUUAAUUAAUGCAAUAAACAUAAUAUUCAAAUGCGUAUUUUUAAGUUGCAGCUUUUACCUUCAUCAUACAGUCUGAGAUAGAACUCAUGGACUCUGAAGCCUUGUGCAGUGUCUACUUCACCGCGACCCACUACUCUAUAUAGUCCAAGAUAUUCAUACGUCAUCUGAUUGUUUCCAACAAUGUUUUCACCUCCAUGUCUGAUUGUUUCCAACAAUGUUUUCACCUCCAUGUGCAUCGGUAUAGGUGACUACUCCUAGAGGAGUCUGUUCUAACAUACAAUUUCGCAUACGCCGGUUGCCUGUACAUACAAACAUAGAUUU
rnacentral:lncRNA from 1 species